CCUUGGUUCACACGCUAGGAAAGAAAAGGGAUGAUCUUGGUCUUGGCGUGAACUUCCACAUGAACGUGACUCCGUGCCUACCUGCUAAUAAGAGCGGGAGUGUGGAUUGUGCACAUAGGUGGGGACGGGGUGAGAACUUGGGGUGUGGCGUGUCCCUGUGGGUGGACACAUUGUGAACAGUAAGUAUCAUGAAUGUGUGACAGCAUGUGGGGCACGUGGGUGAGCGUGUAUGCAUGUACACAGGCUGUCUGCUCAGGUCCUGGGGGAGGGACUCAGAAUCCGCCUCACACCCAUGGAGAGUUCUCGCAAUGGGUAUGGCAAACUUCCUGACCAACAGGCUUCUGGACUUCUGACUCAGCACCAGUCCUGCUCCUUCUGUCUCAAUGACUGUCCCCUGUCCCUGGAGAUGUAAAAGUUCCAGGCUCUCCUACCACACCUAGGCUGGACUUACUGAUUCCAAGGUGAAAAUAAGCCAUCACGUAUUGACCAUCUGUCAGCAAGUAUCUACCCUGCAAAAUACUUUUCACACACUCUCUCACUUAUCCUCACCAUGCCUAGAGAUGGGACUUUGUCUCCAUGUGACUUAUGAAGACACUGAGGACCAGCAAGGCGAGACAACUGUUUGAGGCCACACAGCAACAGAACCAGACCUCGAUCAAACCCAAAGCCCGUGCUCUGUCCGUGUGCUGCCUCCGAGAAGCCAUGGCCAAGAAAGGUCUUUGCACCAGAGCUCACCAAUGUCUCGGAGAGGUCCUCCCUUCCUGCCAGCCAUUGAUGAUCCUGGAGGAUGAACGGGUCGUCUAAAACAGAUGACGCUGGUGCGGGCCCCAGGGAGUUCCACCAAGAGCCUUAGGAUUUAUCAUGUGGGAGGGUAGUUAGUUCCCAAACGCAGAUGCUUGCUUUGAUGAAGAAAGCUGCUAUAUUGGAGAGGCCCAUGUGGCAAGAACUUGAGUGUAGCCUGUAGCCAGUAUCCAGUGGGCAAAUGAGGCUCUCAAUCCAACAGCCUACAAGGAAUUGAAUCCAACUGACAAGCAUGUGAGUGAGCUUGGAAGCCAACCCUGCCCCAGGUGCCAGGACUACAGACAGGGCAACGGAGAGCAGGGGCUUGCUGGAGAAAUCCAUCCUUCCCUGGGAUCUCUUGGAGGGCUCUCCAUCUCUCUUAGAGCAGUUUCUUUCUUAGACAGUUGAAGCUGCCUCAGUGGUCUCCCCAGAUCAUGCAGGUCGGGGCAGAAGCUUCUCACUCAGAGAACUGAGAAUAUCAUUUUUCACAGAAGUCUAAGGUGGAAUUUAGACCAAGAUAUUCUUGGCCUUAGCAGUUUGACUCGGGCGGGGGUUUGAAGCUGGAACUUUUCAACAUACAUCUCCAAGCUUCAGGAGGAAGCUAGACACAUCUGAAAGCCUCUGAACAACCUGCGAUGAAGAUUCUUGAAAAAAGAGACCAUUUGCCUUAGGGGCUAAGAGUACAGGUGCAAGAGACAGACCGCCCACAUUAAAAUCUGACUCCACUCCUGAGCUGUGUGACUUUGGGGAAGUUCCUCAACUGAAGUCACAAAGACCUAAUCUGGGAGGUGGGAAUAGUCAUAGAAAAAGGAUCGUGGGGAAAUGAAACGAGAGAAUACAUGUAACGUUCUUGGCUCACAGCGCCCGGUGAAUGUUAGCUGCUAUUACUGUUGUUCCUACCACCGCACCCUCUCCCAUUCCUUUCCUUCUCAAUUCUAUUGACAUUUUUGGUGUCUAACUCCUUUUGAGAGAUCAUGACUUUUGUAGAACUAGGCUGCUUUCACUCUUUGAGGGUGGUCUUUCUGAUUGAUCCAUCAGUCUGCAUUCUCCUUGCCGUCCUUGGUAUGCACACACAUGCAUGGAAGCUAUAUUCCUCCUUCAUACUGGACUUUGAGGACAACGUUUUCAUGUUUCACAUUUCCCACUUCAUCUCCUUUGUUUUCCACUUGCUUAGUUUCCUACUCUUCCCUUUAUCCUGAGGUGUCGUGAGGGCAAUGGCCUGCAGAGUCCAAAGGUGGCUGUCAUGUCAUUUGUCCACGUUUGCAUUCCCGUGCCCUCCCCACAGAUGGCUGCUCUCUGGGCUGCACGCACGUUGGGUUCACUGAUCGCAGAGUCUUUUUCUGGCUGCCAAGAACAUGGUAGCCUCCCAGAGGCUGUUGGCAUGUGGAUGCUGCCUCUGUGAUCCACAGCCCCGCCAGGCUGAUGCUUCAGGAAUGGAUCACACCUUGGCUGGACCCAUCAGGCUGGAACACCAGAUUCUUAAUCAACUGUAGGUGCUACUGUCGCUCUAGGACCUGCCGAUGCCCUCUGUCCUUCUCUGGUGACUUUGUCCACGUGGAUCUUCAGUUCCUUCAACAUGUGUGCUUGUUGCCCCUUGGAGCCCACCUCCUCAAGCAAGCCUCCCAGCCCAGUCAGCCCCUGUGCACUCUCAUGUUACCUGUGCAUCUCCUUCACAACUCACGUCACUGAUGGACUUACGCAGUUGGGUGUGUAUUUGGUAACCUGUCUUCCUCCUGCUGAAAUAUCAACUCCAAGAGGGCAAGGAGUGUGUCUAUUUGUUCACUACAGUAUUAUAUGAACACCCCUGGCAUAUAAUAAGUGCUCCCUCAGAAUUUGAGUAUUAUAUGGACACCCUUGGCAUAUAAUAAAUGCUCCCUCAGAAUUUGAGUAUUAUAUGGACACCCUUGGCAUAUAAUAAAUGCUCCCUCAGAAUUUGAGUAUUAUAUGGACACCCCUGGCAUAGAAUAAAUGCUCCCUCAGUAUUUGAAUAAAUAAAUGUGGUGUCAAUUUGGAUUAAUU
rnacentral:lncRNA from 10 species